GACAGCUUUCUCUUCAAGAUGGAAGAUAAGGAGAAGAGUUCUGUCUGUCUCCUGGUCUCUAGAGCCACUCAAAACCUCUGUCCCCACCACCAGUACUUGGAGAUGUCCCACUUCUAGGCAUGACUUUAAGGAAGUUUCAUCUCUUGGUGCCGGGUUGUAAAUGCAAAAACGGGGGUCAGACAGAAUCAGCAAGCAUGCCCAUUUCCAUGGAAAGGCUGAAAUGUGGGUCAAUUCCAGGGUUAGCUAUGUAAUUCUACAAAUGGGUCCAUUUUGAUCUCUGUGCAGUUGGAUAAAUCUGGUACCCAAGCAAUUCUCAUGGUCGACUAAACUGAAAGAUCCCACAGAAUUUUUAGCAAUGGUGUUUUUAGAGCAUGUAAGAAUGGAUUUCUAUUGGCUCAACAAAUAGGAAUUUUAAGCCAACAACUUAAAUUCCUAGUACAAUUCUCUACUUACAGAUAUUAAGGACAAAUUUUACAAGUCUGGAAAACAAAUCAGAAAUGAGGCACAGCAAAAAUCAUUUUUACUGACAAAGUACAGAGUGAGUCCCAGCGGGAGGAGAACCUUUCCCUCCCUAGUGUCAUGCUUUUUGCUGAUAAUUUGUUCUCAUUCCUUAAUCCCAGCAAGCAUUCUAAAACCCAAGAAAAGGUUUACCACGGGAGGUUUCCCAGGCACUGGAGGUAAUGUGCUAACUGAAGCUCUAGAAAUAGAAAUAAGCUGAGGACAUGUGUUACCCAAUCUAAUUUAGCCAAAAGCUAGUUGGAGAACUGAUCUGAAAUGAAGAGACAUGCUAGAGGUGAUUAUUAAAAGGUAGAGUUCCUUAACAUUUGAAUUCUUAGAUGGUUGAUAUAACCAGCUAGAUGGAAGUGAGUUAUCAGACUUAAGCUUAGUAGCAACAGUGUUUCAGUCAAGUAAAUAUCACAAUGCUUUAUAAAUAUGAAAUUGGUCAACUAUGUAUUUCUAAUUAGUCAUAUUUGUUAUCGUCAGUAAUGGAAGGACUAAAUAUAAAAAUGUGCACCCAAAAGGAAUAGGACAAGACAAAUUGGUCCCAGGAAUAAUAGCAGAGGCUUUCCAAAGUCUACUGCACAGAAAUAUCCACUCGAAUCCACUGCAUCUUUACUAAUCUAAAAGUGACAAGAUCAGACAUGUAAGUGAUUCAAGACCUCUCCUUGCCUGUCCUUUACACAGAAUGGUUACAUCAGUUGCAGCCCCCCAAAACAACAGAUUAAAUCCAGACCAACAGGUUGGUAAAAUUGGCUAAAAGAAAAGAAAAAAGCUACUGGAGGAAGAUGAAAAGCAAGCAGUUUGCUGACGUAUCGGACAGAAUCUGCAAAGGAGGUAAAUACCUACCGGGAACUAGAGAAAAGAGGAAGGCGGCCUUCAGAAGAAGUCCUUGCGACAUGCUGAGUAGUGAUCGGUCCCAGGAGGCAGGAGCCUGCCCUUCUCACUGCUGUGUGGUCCGUCCCUGCCUCCUCUCAAGCGAGACAGAAUGAAACUCCCAGGUGAAUUUUGUCUGCUUCAGUGAGUGUUUACCAAAGGUGUUGCGCAAUCAUUAAGCUGUGGUCCUGCCACAAUAGCAAGGCGGGCGGAAGUCCUGGCUGCCUCCUAGCUCAAAGAUUCCUUCGGAAUAAGCUGCUGCUUCUUGUUCCUUCUUCCACAUAUUCUCCACUCAAAAACUGCAUUUCCAAUCUAUUACUAUAGCCCGAUGAGCUGCCAUGAGGUAACAGCCUUGAUGUACUUUGAUAAAUGUGUGUAUUUAUUAUGUUCAUAAUAAAUACAUAAAUAUGUAUUGCAUA